UACGGGGGGGGGCAAGCGUUGUUCGGAAUUACUGGGCGUAAAGGGCUCGUAGGCGGCCAACUAAGUCAGACGUGAAAUCCCUCGGCUUAACCGGGGAACUGCGUCUGAUACUGGAUGGCUUGAGUUUGGGAGAGGGAUGCGGAAUUCCAGGUGUAGCGGUGAAAUGCGUAGAUAUCUGGAGGAACACCGGUGGCGAAGGCGGCAUCCUGGAGCCGGCAUUUGACGCUGAGGAGCGAAAGCCAGGGGAGCAAACGGG
rnacentral:rRNA from 1 species